GUGUGUGUGUGUGUGUGUGUGUGUGUGUGUGUGUACGUGCCAAAUGUGCACGCCCGCCAUCCCCAUGCUGCCCACAAG
rnacentral:miRNA from 1 species